GACGAGCGGCGGACGGGUGAGUAAUGUCUGGGAAACUGCCUGAUGGAGGGGGAUAACUACUGGAAACGGUAGCUAAUACCGCAUAACGUCGCAAGACCAAAGAGGGGGACCUUCGGGCCUCUUGCCAUCAGAUGUGCCCAGAUGGGAUUAGCUAGUAGGUGGGGUAAUGGCUCACCUAGGCGACGAUCCCUAGCUGGUCUGAGAGGAUGACCAGCCACACUGGAACUGAGACACGGUCCAGACUCCUACGGGAGGCAGCAGUGGGGAAUAUUGCACAAUGGGCGCAAGCCUGAUGCAGCCAUGCCGCGUGUAUGAAGAAGGCCUUCGGGUUGUAAAGUACUUUCAGCGAGGAGGAAGGCAUUAAGGUUAAUAACCUUGGUGAUUGACGUUACUCGCAGAAGAAGCACCGGCUAACUCCGUGCCAGCAGCCGCGGUAAUACGGAGGGUGCAAGCGUUAAUCGGAAUUACUGGGCGUAAAGCGCACGCAGGCGGUCUGUCAAGUCGGAUGUGAAAUCCCCGGGCUCAACCUGGGAACUGCAUUCGAAACUGGCAGGCUAGAGUCUUGUAGAGGGGGGUAGAAUUCCAGGUGUAGCGGUGAAAUGCGUAGAGAUCUGGAGGAAUACCGGUGGCGAAGGCGGCCCCCUGGACAAAGACUGACGCUCAGGUGCGAAAGCGUGGGGAGCAAACAGGAUUAGAUACCCUGGUAGUCCACGCCGUAAACGAUGUCGACUUGGAGGCUGUUCCCUUGAGGAGUGGCUUCCGGAGCUAACGCGUUAAGUCGACCGCCUGGGGAGUACGGCCGCAAGGUUAAAACUCAAAUGAAUUGACGGGGGCCCGCACAAGCGGUGGAGCAUGUGGUUUAAUUCGAUGCAACGCGAAGAACCUUACCUACUCUUGACAUCCACGGAACUUAGCAGAGAUGCUUUGGUGCCUUCGGGAACCGUGAGACAGGUGCUGCAUGGCUGUCGUCAGCUCGUGUUGUGAAAUGUUGGGUUAAGUCCCGCAACGAGCGCAACCCUUAUCCUUUGUUGCCAGCGGUCCGGCCGGGAACUCAAAGGAGACUGCCAGUGAUAAACUGGAGGAAGGUGGGGAUGACGUCAAGUCAUCAUGGCCCUUACGAGUAGGGCUACACACGUGCUACAAUGGCGCAUACAAAGAGAAGCGACCUCGCGAGAGCAAGCGGACCUCAUAAAGUGCGUCGUAGUCCGGAUUGGAGUCUGCAACUCGACUCCAUGAAGUCGGAAUCGCUAGUAAUCGUAGAUCAGAAUGCUACGGUGAAUACGUUCCCGGGCCUUGUACACACCGCCCGUCACACCAUGGGAGUGGGUUGCAAAAGAAGUAGGUAGCUUAACCUUCGGGAGGGCGCUUACCACUUUGUGAUUCAUGACUGGGGUGAAGUCGUAACA
rnacentral:rRNA from 1 species